AGUCGAGCGGACAGAUGGGAGCUUGCUCCCUGAUGUUAGCGGCGGACGGGUGAGUAACACGUGGGUAACCUGCCUGUAAGACUGGGAUAACUCCGGGAAACCGGGGCUAAUACCGGAUGGUUGUUUGAACCGCAUGGUUCAGACAUAAAAGGUGGCUUCGGCUACCACUUACAGAUGGACCCGCGGCGCAUUAGCUAGUUGGUGAGGUAACGGCUCACCAAGGCGACGAUGCGUAGCCGACCUGAGAGGGUGAUCGGCCACACUGGGACUGAGACACGGCCCAGACUCCUACGGGAGGCAGCAGUAGGGAAUCUUCCGCAAUGGACGAAAGUCUGACGGAGCAACGCCGCGUGAGUGAUGAAGGUUUUCGGAUCGUAAAGCUCUGUUGUUAGGGAAGAACAAGUGCCGUUCAAAUAGGGCGGCACCUUGACGGUACCUAACCAGAAAGCCACGGCUAACUACGUGCCAGCAGCCGCGGUAAUACGUAGGUGGCAAGCGUUGUCCGGAAUUAUUGGGCGUAAAGGGCUCGCAGGCGGUUUCUUAAGUCUGAUGUGAAAGCCCCCGGCUCAACCGGGGAGGGUCAUUGGAAACUGGGGAACUUGAGUGCAGAAGAGGAGAGUGGAAUUCCACGUGUAGCGGUGAAAUGCGUAGAGAUGUGGAGGAACACCAGUGGCGAAGGCGACUCUCUGGUCUGUAACUGACGCUGAGGAGCGAAAGCGUGGGGAGCGAACAGGAUUAGAUACCCUGGUAGUCCACGCCGUAAACGAUGAGUGCUAAGUGU
rnacentral:rRNA from 1 species